GUCCAGUCUGAGAAAAACUUACUGAAGCAUCUCUGAGGGCUGUAGAUGACAGGGUUCAUGACUGGCGACAGCACAGAAUACAACACGGUGGCCAGCAGGUCCUGCUGUGGGGAAGACAUGGACUAUGGACACAUGUAAGAGAGCAUGGCGGUGCAGGUCACUUGUCUGGCUGUCUCUAGCAAACACCCAUGUGGACAUGGUGGAGCAGUAGAGGACACACUCGGCCAUUCCGUCGGAUUUUGCAUUUCACUUGCAGUUCCGUGGAAAGUCCAAUGUCCGGGCAGCUUUGGUGACACUUACAACAUUUGAGAGGGAACUGAUCUCCUGGCGUCAUAACACACCGGUGAGACUGGUCUCCUUUGCCCUGGCCCGCUACCUCACUGUGCUGGGGGUUCGAC